UAGUGGUGUUUUAUUUUACAGCAAUCCAGGUUCCAGACAAUGUCCGACUCCAUCAUCACAAAGAAUAUCCUUAUCAACUUCCAUUCCUCAUUCUUAAUUUCUGAAAUCUGAAUGAAUUGUCUGGGAAGAUCUGUUUUGGCUGUGCAUGAUCACAAAGAAGUGUGUUUUUGCCUUUUGGGUCAGUCUUAUUGCAAUUCAUGCUUCUUGUAGUCAAUCUAAUAAGUUCAGUUUUUUAUAUCGGGCAAACCCUAGGUGAUUGGAACUACAAUUGACAAAUCAGUUUGGAUGUUAUUACAUCAGGGACAUAAAGUUGUCUGGUUGAUAUGAAUAUGUCUUAUGUUGUAGCACAAACUGUGGUCAGUUGUUCAGAUUAGGCAGAAUACGACAUGAUGAAGUCCAGUUAUUGCCAAUUGUGUCAAUAUUACUUAGUUUCCUUGACUGGAAUGCACUUGACGACAUGGGAGGCAGGAUAGACGAGCUAGAGAGGAGCAUCAACGAUCUCCGAGCCGAGAUGGGUGUGGAAGGAUCUCCAUCUCCUUCAACACCCACCAAGGUAAAGGACGAAACCAAGCCCGUAGAUGAGUCAGCCUGAGAGACCUCGACGGAGAAAGUGUGACAGUGGGAACAAACUGGUGUUGAACUGAACAAGAGUGUUUUCUUUGUUUGCUUUUGUGAGUCCACUAGACUACAACUUUUCCGGGAACAUGUGACGAACGAACACCCAUCUUUCCUUGCUUCCGCCAUUUUUUUAUCCUCUUCUGAUCAGGAAUGGGGAAACCAUUGGACAUGAACUCCGGGUUUACUGUUUAGGUUACAUGUGAGCUGUAACUCAUUAAUUCAGCGUGGUUGUUAAAUGUUUACGUCCCUUUCUUGCAGCAUCCAGCAAUUAUUUAUAACUUAGCUUACUUACAAUUGGCUCA
rnacentral:lncRNA from 1 species